rnacentral:tRNA from 1 species
UAGCUCAGGAGGUAGAGCGAGGGACUGAAAAUCCCUGCGUCGGCGGUUCGACUCCGUC